rnacentral:tRNA from 1 species
GCCUGUGUUGUCCAGUGGUUAGAACGUUGGUCUGUGCACCGAAGGGUCUCAGGUUCAAUUCCCUGUCAAGGGCA